AUGCCUAGAAAUCAAUUUAUACACACCCAAUAGAACUCUUAGAUGAUGUGUGUCAUAUGGAGUCUCGCUUUGGUCUAUUUAGAGACAAUAUUAGUUUCAGUGCAAGAUAGGUGCACGGUUUGCGCCUAAUGCACCAUAGGGUCGAAACCAUUGUGGAAGCACCCGAUUGUACUCCUAGGUGAAGAGGCUCAAGUGAAAGCUCGGUUUGGUCUGUUUCGAUAUAGUGCUAAUCUUGAUGCAAGAUAGGUCCAUGGUUUGCAUGGAACAUACCA
rnacentral:lncRNA from 1 species